rnacentral:tRNA from 1 species
UGGGAAGUCGUCUAGUCGGCAGGACACCGGAUUCUGACUCCGGCAACGUAGGUUCGAGACCUACCUUCCCAUCCA